GGUCCACAGUAGUGGUUUCCACAGUCACUGGAAUAUUUGCAAAAAUAACACAAGAUGAAACUAUGAAUAUCCAAAUGGUUGUGCUGGGCUACUGAUCCCUCCUGCCUUUAGAUAAAGCAUGGGAAGUAACUGAUGUUGCACGAUGUGACGCUGUUGUAGGGAGCAUCAAUCAAGUAGCACUGAUGAUGCACAAGAAAGUGCACAGUAAAUCUAAUAUUGCAGUGAGUUUUAAAUUUGGAUCCAGUCUUUCCAUCCUCAUUAUUUAGUUGAUUGGACAGGUAACUGCUCACAUGAUCCAGACCGAUCGCUGGUUGCAUAAAGACUUCUGCAGGUUUGGAACUUUAUUGGCUUCCAGGGAGUUGUUAAUUCACAAAUUUUAUUCAAAACCGAACAAGCAUCCUUAGGAUUCACUAAUACACCCCCAUCAGAACAGAUACCUUACCAAUUUGUGGCAGGUUCUGCAUGGCUUUUUGCAAUAAACCAGGCUACAAAAUCCCCAGACUGUCCCCUGGGAGGAAGCCGCAGUGAUGAAAAACAGACACAUCCUCCUGUGCACUGCAGAACCUACAGAGGACAAAGCUGGUAUAAUCUGUGAAGCACAGCUGCUCAACGGGCAGAUGUGAAGUAAUGCUGCUAUCAAAAAAGCACAACCUACUGUCUUAUCAUUGGAAUCUUAGGGCAAAGAAGUGCUGUACAUCAAUACGUUCUUGGUGGCGCUGUCCUCUUUUAAACUGCGUUGAUAUUUGCUAUCAGUGAAGACUGUAUACCCUCGACUGGACAGCUAAGUGUGUAUUUGCUCCCUGAGUACUUUACUCCCUUGGUGUAAUAGCUGACACUGACAGAUAUUUCCUUCAUUUUGGAAGGCAAAGGUGAGCAUGGCACAGCCUAAUUCCUGUGACGCAAUGUGCAUUCAUCGGCAGUGACUAUUAUAGCACAGAUAAACUACUGGAUGCCCCUGCUGAGGACAGUACAUGCUCUGUGCAGCAUGAUUGCACUCUGCUCUGACUUCUUCCUGUGUCACGAUGCCCACUGUCACCACAGUAAAAUGGCACUUCAUCAUUCCUCCCCAGGCUGUUGUGUACCUACAGCCGGAGAUUCCUGAGUCUGCCUCCCUUCUUCAGGGCUAUCUCCAGCUAAGCUCCUGCAGGUCAGCAGUGGCUCAGUGCACUUCCAGAUCUGUGUAGUUGGCUAUUGCCUUGAAGAUUUUAAUUUACUUCCUCACUUACCCUUUAUGAUGCUGUUGGGAUUCUGUAUGAGUCCUGCACUUGACCCCAGUACAGGGAGAUAUGAAGCUGGUAAAGUACAUGCAUUUUUUAAAAAUCAGUUUAUAUUCUCUUCUAAUCAGCAGUAAAAGCAGCUGUCACAAAAUGCAGGUGAUAACCAUGCCAUCUCAAAGCUUACAAGGUUUAGUUACUUCACAGGAAAUGUAGGCCUAAUGAAUAUAAAAGGUAGAAAUCAAAUGGAAAAUGAAAAAGAAAUACACAGUAAUUGAGAGGCAUUCAUCUCGAUCAACAUGCCAGGAGAGCACUCUUGGAAAAUAGAAAGAAAUCUAGUCCACUUUCUUUCUAGGGCAGAAAGUCUUUUAUUGAAAAUUAUUCUUGUCACGAGUGUGUACGGGAAGUGUAGUAGGAUGUUUGAGAACAUUUUAUACUACCUUCCCCAGGGGGAAUUUAAUUAUUUUUCUUCUUCUUCUUUUUUUACACUUUUGUGGCAGUUUGAGGCCUGAGCAAAGUGUGAUUUUGACAGCUUUGGGGACAGAAAUGUUCUAAUUAUUUGGGAAACAGGAUUUCAAGGAACAGGAAAAUCUUCACACUAUAUUGUCACUACAAGACUAAAAACGUACUAAGCAAUCAAGUGUUAAGUAAAAUCCUGAAGGCCAAAAGAUGCAAGCCAUGAAACUUUAGCACACCGUUAUUCAACAAAGCGCUCGAGUUUUUCAUUGAGACUUGUGUGUGGACUUAACUGUUAGAGCUUACAACGCCUUGCAGGUAGCAGCAAAAGCUUAAAAUAAUGUUUUGCCCCACCGCCUAGCAGUGAGAUAGAAAGCACUGCUAUGCAACGCAAUGGUGGGAGAGUUUGGAAAUUGUUCCAGUGAGGAUGUCAGAGAAGUUGUUGAGAAAGAAUGGCUGAUGAAGAGCUGCCAAGCUGGAAUAUGAAAUAGCUUUUUAUAUUCCUUAGAAAGGUAACUGCUGCCUAACGCAUUGACCUUGGGCUGGAUUCCAGGUGUGAAAGGGUUUUGCUACGUCUUCUUCUCAACAUAAAGAGAAGUGACAGACGCAGAGGUAGCCAGGGAGCUGAGCAUGCACACAAGGGCAGUAGCUAUGACCUUGCCAUCUUUUGUGAAGAGGAGAAGCCCUCAGCUAUGCAGGAAAGGCUGCUGGUCUUUGGUACUUAAUACACGGGUUAGAUGGAGCCCAGUGAUACCCCCAAAGCUGCUUUUCUUCCACUCUCAGGCAUUUGAGUUGGCAAGCUCAGCCUUUUUUACUUGUUGCAUUAAAAAUAAGCAAUCAAACUAUCUUAUCAACUUUUCCCUGUGAUCUUAUUCCUCGUGGUCUCCACUGAAUCAGACAUCAAUAAGGUGAGUUUUGCUCAGACUAAAAAGAGAUUUGUCUGCAAGCGCAGUUUAUGAUAAUUAGGGGAAAAACAAGUUGGACAGGAUGCUGAAGAGAAAAUUGAGGCCUGGUAAUACGUGCAAACAGGGAGAGCUGUUGUUGUUUUUCAUCUUAGUGUUUUGUUUUUCAGCAGCAGAAGCUGUUGCGUUUCGCUUCCUCCAAGCAGGAGCUAAUAAUGAGCUACCAAUAACGAUCUACCGUGUGGACUAAUAAGGAGGCUGUCUUGCUAUUUUGUCAAAGCAUUUUUUUUUUCCUGAAAAAAGACCCUUGCAUAUAAUGAAGUGCUGUAAGUGGAAUGCUGCUUGGUGUCUGGGGUGCUUGGUUGCUCUUCCUUUUUCUAAGACAGGUAGAAAAGUAUGCUGGAAUUGUAAAAAUGAGUGGUCAUUUUACAGUAGAAGCGAAAAACCUGACAUCGAUGUGCAAGCAAGAUACACUAAGUUAUACACUAAGUCUGGAAUGCUUUUCCCUUGAGUCCUCUCUAUCCUGGGAGAAGUGCUAUAUCAAGGCAAUCUCCAUUCACGCUUGUACUGCUGGACCAUCACAAAGCAGCUGAAGCAAACUGGCAAAACUCCCUUCAGAGGUUGUCGACCACAUGGCUGCACAGGACCCUGCAAUGCUGUGCUUAAAAAAGCAAUCAAAUUCAAGUCAGCUUGCUUGUUGUGGGUAUUUUCUGGGAACUGUUUAUUACCAUGCCACAUCUGCUGACCAAUUUUUGCAUAAUAAAC
ensembl:lncRNA